AAAUUGAAGAGUUUGAUCAUGGCUCAGAUUGAACGCUGGCGGCAGGCCUAACACAUGCAAGUCGAACGGUAACAGGAAGCAGCUUGCUGCUUUGCUGACGAGUGGCGGACGGGUGAGUAAUGUCUGGGAAACUGCCUGAUGGAGGGGGAUAACUACUGGAAACGGUAGCUAAUACCGCAUAACGUCGCAAGACCAAAGAGGGGGACCUUCGGGCCUCUUGCCAUCGGAUGUGCCCAGAUGGGAUUAGCUAGUAGGUGGGGUAACGGCUCACCUAGGCGACGAUCCCUAGCUGGUCUGAGAGGAUGACCAGCCACACUGGAACUGAGACACGGUCCAGACUCCUACGGGAGGCAGCAGUGGGGAAUAUUGCACAAUGGGCGCAAGCCUGAUGCAGCCAUGCCGCGUGUAUGAAGAAGGCCUUCGGGUUGUAAAGUACUUUCAGCGAGGAGGAAGGCGUUGUGGUUAAUAACCACAGCGAUUGACGUUACUCGCAGAAGAAGCACCGGCUAACUCCGUGCCAGCAGCCGCGGUAAUACGGAGGGUGCAAGCGUUAAUCGGAAUUACUGGGCGUAAAGCGCACGCAGGCGGUUUGUUAAGUCAGAUGUGAAAUCCCCGGGCUCAACCUGGGAACUGCAUCUGAUACUGGCAAGCUUGAGUCUCGUAGAGGGGGGUAGAAUUCCAGGUGUAGCGGUGAAAUGCGUAGAGAUCUGGAGGAAUACCGGUGGCGAAGGCGGCCCCCUGGACGAAGACUGACGCUCAGGUGCGAAAGCGUGGGGAGCAAACAGGAUUAGAUACCCUGGUAGUCCACGCCGUAAACGAUGUCGACUUGGAGGUUGUGCCCUUGAGGCGUGGCUUCCGGAGCUAACGCGUUAAGUCGACCGCCUGGGGAGUACGGCCGCAAGGUUAAAACUCAAAUGAAUUGACGGGGGCCCGCACAAGCGGUGGAGCAUGUGGUUUAAUUCGAUGCAACGCGAAGAACCUUACCUGGUCUUGACAUCCACAGAACUUUCCAGAGAUGGAUUGGUGCCUUCGGGAACUGUGAGACAGGUGCUGCAUGGCUGUCGUCAGCUCGUGUUGUGAAAUGUUGGGUUAAGUCCCGCAACGAGCGCAACCCUUAUCCUUUGUUGCCAGCGGUCCGGCCGGGAACUCAAAGGAGACUGCCAGUGAUAAACUGGAGGAAGGUGGGGAUGACGUCAAGUCAUCAUGGCCCUUACGACCAGGGCUACACACGUGCUACAAUGGCGCAUACAAAGAGAAGCGACCUCGCGAGAGCAAGCGGACCUCAUAAAGUGCGUCGUAGUCCGGAUUGGAGUCUGCAACUCGACUCCAUGAAGUCGGAAUCGCUAGUAAUCGUGGAUCAGAAUGCCACGGUGAAUACGUUCCCGGGCCUUGUACACACCGCCCGUCACACCAUGGGAGUGGGUUGCAAAAGAAGUAGGUAGCUUAACCUUCGGGAGGGCGCUUACCACUUUGUGAUUCAUGACUGGGGUGAAGUCGUAACAAGGUAACCGUAGGGGAACCUGCGGUUGGAUCACCUCCUUACCUUAAAGAAGC
rnacentral:rRNA from 1 species